rnacentral:rRNA from 1 species
UACGGAGGAUGCAAGCGUUAUCCGGAAUGAUUGGGCGCAAAGCGUCCGCAGGCGGCUAUGUAAGUCUGCUGUUAAAGAGUGAGGCUCAACCUCAUAAAAGCAGUGGAAACUACAUGGCUAGAGUGCGUUCGGGGCAGAGGGAAUUCCUGGUGUAGCGGUGAAAUGCGUAGAUAUCAGGAAGAACACCGGUGGCGAAAGCGCUCUGCUAGGCCGCAACUGACACUGAGGGACGAAAGCUAGGGGAGCGAAUGGG